GCCCACCGUUAAUUGUUCCAACAGCAGAGGCGAACUCAGUUUGCUGCUAGAGCGCCUGCUCAGAGUUCCUGCACUGAGCGCUUUCGUUUCUUGGUUUUGUGUGUGUGUGUGAGCUAUGGCUCGUUCCUCAAGGGCUCUCUUGGAACCUAGUGUGGGAACCCACGGGUGCCGGGCACCCUCGGUGGUAUCAGAGAGGCAGGUAAUUUCCAGUGUGCGGAGAGGUGACAUCCUAGGGGCUGGGGUGGUCUGAGAUUAUGGUUCCCUGACACCUAUUCGUAAAGAGUUCGAGCCUGCGUUUGAGAAGGUUAUUUACUUACAUACCUCAAGACUACGCUAUGGAAAUAAAAUUUAAAGAUGAUGGAUGAGGACAUCGGCAGCUUCUGGACAAGCAUGCAUGGGAUCCUGGGUUCAAUACCCCGUGGCAGCAAAAAUGAAAUAAUUGAAUCGGGCAUGGUAACACAUGUUUGUAACCUCAGCAGGUAGUUAGCAGGGUGCCCCCAUUAUAUUGGGAGUGGAGAGCCAGCCUGGGCUGCCAGAGAAUCAAUCUCUCUCUCUCCCUCUCUCUCUUCAGAUCUUCUUAGGGUUAUUAUUGCAGCUAUGACAACUGUUGUUAAAACAAGACAAAGAGGCUCAAACCCAAGCUCCUUGAAUGACAAAAACGAAAGAAUCAACCCCCACGACUGUUUGACUCAUGAAAUGAACAAGUCCUAAAGAUCUGUGGAUCCAACAGUUUUUGGUCGUGGCUACUAAGUCAUUGGGAAGAACCUUACCAGUGACACAUACUUAAGGUUGUUAAAGUUUCUAUUUCCCACUGUCCAAGAGUUCUUGCAAACUCGUUGGAACAGUGUUUCUCAACUUUUGGCUGGAGAUCCUUAUUCAAAGGUUACCUAAGACCAUCUGAAAAGAGGUAUUUACAUUACAAUUUAUAAGUGUAGCAAAAUUGCAGUUAUGGAGUAGCAAUGAAAGUUUUAUGGUUGGGGGGUCACCACAACAUGAAGAGCUGUAUUUAAGGGUCACAGCAUCAGGAAGGUUGAGAACCUCUGAGUUAGAACAACUGAUACAGGGAUCUAUAGCUAAACAAUAUGAAGAGAGUGAGACUUUAGAGCUUAAGGUCUUAAAUGUGAUGUCUCCACCAAAUCCCUCCCCACCAAGGCACAAGAGUCUAGGCCAAAAAGGAGGCAGAAAGAUACAAGCGUCAGAGGUGACAGAGGACUGAAGGAGGUAGUGUUUUCCAGAUAGAGCAGGACUGAUAGACAAGUGAACUCAGAGACUGUGGCAGCACACACAAGGCCUGCACACUGUCAGCCACAGGGUAUCCUGACACCGAGAGCAGGAUGUGGACAAUAAAUAAAGGAAAAAAAGAAGGGGUCCAGCUUCUUCUUCUUCCUCUUCUUCUUCUUCUUCUUCUUCUUCUUCUUCUUCUUCUUCUUCUUCUUCUUCUUCUUCUUCUUCUCCUUCUCCUUCUCCUUCUCCUUCUCCUUCUCCUUCUCCUUCUCCUUCUCCUUCCCCUUUCCCUCCUCCUCCUUCUUUCUUCUUUCUUCUUCUUUCUCCUCCUCCUCCUUCUUUCUUCUUUCUUCUUUCUUCUUCUUUCUCCUCCUCCUUCUUUCUUCUUCUUUCUCCUCCUCCUCCUCCUUCCUCUUCUUCUCUUCUUCUUCUUUACUUCUUCUGGUUUUUCAAGAUAGGGUUUCUCUGUGUAGCCCUGGAUGUCCUAGAACUCACUCUGUAGACCAGGCUGACCUCAAACUCAGAAAUGUGCCUGCCUCUGCCUCCCAAGUGCUGGGAUUAAAGGCAUGCCCCACCACUGCCUGGCGGGGUUGAGGUUCUUAUUCUAGACAAGGGAGACAUAGCCAGAGUCAGAGACAUCUGGAAGAGUCCAGAGUGGACAGAGGGGCAAACUGAAGCAGUCAUGUGAGGAGAGCCAGGAGGGGAGAGACACAGGGGACCCAGGAGCAGCAGCCAAGAGGGCAAGAGGCCAGUGUAGCCAGAGUGGCUGGGUUAUAUAAGGAGGGCCAGCUGGGGGAAGGGCAGCUCAGUCCAGGCCCUGGGCUGGAGAAGUUUAGCGUAGAGGACAGGAAUGCCAGUCACGAGUACACUGUACCAUGUAGGGACUUAGGGGUGCUGGGAGAUCCUGAUGGCUAGAGUCUGCUUUGAUCUAUUCAUAGCAUCUCAGCUGUUUGUCCUGGGUUUGAGGCCUGACAGACAAUAACGCCUAACCAAGAAGCUACCUGCAACUGAUACCUGUUGGUAAAGAAAAAAUUGUAGUUUUUUCCAAUGGAGUCUCACUGGGUGUAUUAGCCACACUUUAGCUAAGUAGGCCUCAUGCCCAGAACACAGU
rnacentral:lncRNA from 1 species